AACGAACGCUGGCGGCAGGCCUAACACAUGCAAGUCGAACGCCGUAGCAAUACGGAGUGGCAGACGGGUGCGUAACACGUGGGAACAUACCCUUUGGUUCGGAAUAACUCAGGGAAACUUGAGCUAAUACCGGAUAAGUCCGCGAGGAGAAAGAUUCAUCGCCGAAGGAUUGGCCCCGCGUCUGAUUAGCUAGUUGGUGAGGUAACGGCUCACCAAGGCGACGAUCAGUAGCUGGCUGAGAGGAUGAUCAGCCACACUGGGACUGAGACACGGCCCAGACUCCUACGGGAGGCAGCAGUGGGGAAUAUUGGACAAUGGGCGAAAGCCUGAUCCAGCCAUGCCGCGUGAGUGAUGAAGGCCUUAGGGUUGUAAAGCUCUUUUACCCGGGAAGAUAAUGACGGUACCGGGAGAAUAAGCCCCGGCUAACUUCGUGCCAGCAGCCGCCG
rnacentral:rRNA from 1 species